GCGGCCUCUCGCAUGGACGGUUCUCAGAAAAUUUCCAUUUGGACAGGACAGUUGUACUAUCACUAUGUGGUGCCCAGGGCCCAUGCCAACAAUAAAUGCAAUCCUGAGCUCCUAGCCACAAUAAAAUUUGUGGACUUCUGAUGUUACUGUCAGACAACUGAGGUCAUGAGUCGCUUAAGGAACGUAAAAGUGCCUAAAAAGCAAUUGUGUAUGAUGAGAAUAGACAUCCAAAGAAAAUGACCUUUUGUAGCUAGAAGAAUGGAACUGCUGAUAAGGACUGAUUGUUUAGCAUUUCAAGUCUUUGACUUUUUUAUAUUUUAUCAUGCUCAUUAUUAAAUUAGACAACGGAAAUAACAUAUUUGAUGAUAAUGCCAUUUGUGGAUUCUGAAUUUUGUUUUGACUUAGAUAUGUAUAUCUUGUUAACUUUCGCAUUAUAAGUUCAUGGGAAAAUUAUUUUAUUUUUAAGACAUGUUUAAUAAAUGUAGUUCCAUUAACUAUC
rnacentral:lncRNA from 1 species